rnacentral:rRNA from 1 species
GAUAGGGAAUACCAUCUGCAAUGAGGUAUUCUUUCAAACUCGUGCCAAAGGAUCGGACGGCGGCGGAUUAGGUAGUUGGCGGUGUAACGGACCACCAAGCCGAAGAUCCGUACGGGCCAUGAGAGUGGUAGCCCGGAGAGGGACACUGAGAUACUGGUCCCAGCCCCACGGGGUGCAGCAGGCGCGAAACCUUUACAAUGCACGCAAGUGUGAUAAGGGAAUCCCCAGUGCUCAUGUACUGCAUGGGCUUUUGCCAAGUGUAAAUAGCUUGGCGAAUAAGUGGUGGGAAAGACUGGUGCCAGCCGCCGCGGUAACACCAGCGCCACGAGUGGUAACCACGAUUAUUGGGCCUAAAGCGUCCGUAGCCGGUUUGGUAAAUCCCUUGUGAAAUUGUUCGGCUUAACCGAACAACGUGCAAAGGACACUGCCAAACUCGAGACCGGGAGGAGUCAGAAGUAUUCCAGGGGGAGCGGUAAAAUGUUAUAAUCCCUGGAGGACUACCUGUGGCGAAGGCGUCUGACCAGAACGGAUCUGACGGUGAGGGACGAAAGCCAGGGGAGCGAACCGGAUUAGAUACCCGAGUAGUCCUGGCCGUAAACGCUGUGAGCUAGGUGUUGCGCUAACUACAUGUUGGCGCAGUGUCGAAAGGAAGCUGUUAAGCUCACCGCCUGGGAAGUACGGUCGCAAGACUGAAACUUUAAGGAAUUGGCGGGGGAGCACCACAAGGGGUGCGGCGUGCGGUUUAAUCUAACUCAACGCAGAGAACCUUACUAGAAGCGACGGCAGAAUGAAAGUCAGCUUGAAGAGCUUACUUGACAAGCCGAGAGGUGGUGCAUGGCCGCCGUCAGCUCGUGCUGUGAAGUGUCCAGCUAAGCCUGGCAACGAGCGAGACCUGUAUUUGCAAUUGCUAACAGCCACAUGUGGGACUGAGCACUUUGCAAAGACUGCCCUGGAAACAGGGAGGAAGGUGCAGGCUACGGUAGGUCUGUAUGCCCCGAAUCUUCUAGGCUACACGCGCGCAACAAUGGUAGGGACAAUGGGAUGCAACUCCGAAAGGAGAAGCUAAUCCUCUAAACCCUAUCCAAGUCCAGAUUGAGGCUUGCAACUCAGCCUCAUGACGACGGAAUCCCUAGUAAUCAGAAGUCAUCAUCUUCUGGUGAAUAUGUCCCUGCUCCUUGCACACACCGCCCGUCAAAUCAACCGAGCAGGGUCUAGGUAAAGUUCAGCUUAUUGGUUGCACUGAAUCUAGGCUCAGUGAGGUGGGUUAAGUCGUCACAAGGUA